AUGCCCACAGGCCGCCUCAGGGGUACAGGAACCCCCGCCAUAAAGGUUUUGAAACCGCAUGAGCCACCCGAUGCCGGGCGGGAUCUCAAGUCGAUGAACUCAUAUCGGCGGCGACACCAAGAGCCAACAACGGCAUCAGCAUACUCCGAGAGAACGACACUCUCCGAACGGAACCGGAGAGAAAGAAGACGACCAGCAUCUCUUGAGAGGGAAUCAAACCUGCAGCUCAACCAAACACCUCCUACACUCCAGGACCCCACCUCCACGCCACCGAUGGAUACUUCGCCGGCGCAACAACAAAGAGGAGGGGGAGAUAGAUACUCACAUCGCCAGGACGGCGAAGCCGCCACACCGCCCUGCCUGAGAAUCCAAGAACUCGCGGGAUCUACAGAUCCGUGA
rnacentral:rRNA from 1 species